CUCUGCAGUCGAACGAACUCUGGUAAUGAUUGGUGCUUGCAUCAUGAAUUACAUUUGAGUGAGUGGCGAACUGGUGAGUAACACGUGGGAAACCUGCCCAGAAGCGGGGGAUAACACCUGGAAACAGAUGCUAAUACCGCAUAACAACUUGGACCGCAUGGUCCGAGUUUGAAAGAUGGCUUCGGCUAUCACUUUUGGAUGGUCCCGCGGCGUAUUAGCUAGAUGGUGAGGUAACGGCUCACCAUGGCAAUGAUACGUAGCCGACCUGAGAGGGUAAUCGGCCACAUUGGGACUGAGACACGGCCCAAACUCCUACGGGAGGCAGCAGUAGGGAAUCUUCCACAAUGGACGAAAGUCUGAUGGAGCAACGCCGCGUGAGUGAAGAAGGGUUUCGGCUCGUAAAACUCUGUUGUUAAAGAAGAACAUAUCUGAGAGUAACUGUUCAGGUAUUGACGGUAUUUAACCAGAAAGCCACGGCUAACUACGUGCCAGCAGCCGCGGUAAUACGUAGGUGGCAAGCGUUGUCCGGAUUUAUUGGGCGUAAAGCGAGCGCAGGCGGUUUUUUAAGUCUGAUGUGAAAGCCUUCGGCUCAACCGAAGAAGUGCAUCGGAAACUGGGAAACUUGAGUGCAGAAGAGGACAGUGGAACUCCAUGUGUAGCGGUGAAAUGCGUAGAUAUAUGGAAGAACACCAGUGGCGAAGGCGGCUGUCUGGUCUGUAACUGACGCUGAGGCUCGAAAGUAUGGGUAGCAAACAGGAUUAGAUACCCUGGUAGUCCAUACCGUAAACGAUGAAUGCUAAGUGUUGGAGGGUUUCCGCCCUUCAGUGCUGCAGCUAACGCAUUAAGCAUUCCGCCUGGGGAGUACGGCCGCAAGGCUGAAACUCAAAGGAUUGAC
rnacentral:rRNA from 2 species